rnacentral:rRNA from 1 species
GGUAGUGGGGGAUAACGUUCGGAAACGGACGCUAAUACCGCAUACGUCCUACGGGAGAAAGCAGGGGGCCUUCGGGCCUUGCGCUAUCAGAUGAGCCUAGGUCGGAUUAGCUAGUGUGGUGAGGUAAUGGCUCACCAAGGCGACGAUCCGUAACUGGUCUGAGAGGAUGAUCAGUCACACUGGAACGGAGACACGGUCCAGCCUCCUGCGGGAGGCAGCAGUGGGGAAUAUUGGACAAUGGGCGAAAGCCUGAUC